GUUCUUCUGCACAAGAUGGGCCUCAGAGACAGUUUGUGUUUGACUGUGCUUUCCCCUUCAGAAGUUGAGUUGGGACACUGGCUCAAUUAGUGCUGGCUUCAGAAUUGGAAUGAAGAAUGAAAAGUCUCUUCUCUUCUUAGGAAAUAAUUUUUCCUUUGUGCAGAGAUGUAGAAAUGAGCACAUUCAUAUCAAGAUUAAAAGUGCAACCCCAAGGCAAGGGACAAUGGUGAUGAGUGAAUAACGGGAAAAGAUGCAGUAAGGGAAGAGUGCUUUCAAAAAGAAUGGUGCCAAGAACAGUGGAAGAGGGAACUUUUGUACUUUUAUAAAAGUAAUUACCAUUCAUCAAACUCCUCACAGUGGCAGACAAAUGAAUUGAAUAAUGAAUUUAAUAGAUAUAAACUCACUUUUAUGAAUCUAUCAAAUACAUCAUAUCACAUAACCUUUCUACUCUAUCUUAUAAUAAUACAGUGCCUUUUUCUGUGUUUAAAAAGUUUGUAUCUUAGCAAGAUUCAUGAAGAAGCAAUUCUAUAUCUGUUUUAAAAUUUAUGUUGUUCUGUUGAACACUGUUAUAAAAUAAAACUUGUGUUAUACCUGUAAAUUAUUGUAUUAAA
rnacentral:lncRNA from 1 species